rnacentral:rRNA from 1 species
AGAAUAUUAGUCAAUGCUCGCAAGAGUGAACUAGCUAACUGAAAUCACAAGAUCCGCUACAUGUGGUGAAUGUAAUAACGUAAGGGAAAAAAAUGAUAUUACCUUACUAUUAGUGUUGUCCAAAACUGGUGCCAGAAGACUCGGUAAGACCAGAGACGCAAACGUUAGUCGUCCUAAUCAGGCGUAAAGGGUAUGUAGGCUGCUUUAAAAGUUUUAUAUUUAAUAGCUCUGUUUAAUUCUAAAUAUUUAUUUAAUAUUUAAUUUAAACAGUAAAUAUACAAUGAAUUAAAGCUAGGAUCAAAUUGAGGAUAAUUAAAAUAAUACUUAGUGUAGGGUUUGAAUCUGGUGAUACUAGGGGGAGUACUAACGGUGAAAGCUUUUUAUCUAGAAAUGAUUGACGCUGAGAAACGAAGGUGAGAAAAGGAAAUAGGAUUAGAUACCCAGAUACCUCUCACAGUCAACGAUGAAUGGUGGUUGUUAGUUAGUUUUAUUUAACUGAUAACGAUGUUAACACGAUAACCAUUCCGCCUUGCGAGUACGGUUGCAAAACUGAAACCAAAAAAAUUAGUCGGUCUCGAAGCAAACGAAGUGAAGCAUGUUAUUUAAUUCGAUAAUCCGCA